UUAGCCUGCCGAUAUGAUGAAUUACAUUGACAUGCAGAUGUUGAACAAUCCUUAUAUUCCCAGGAUGAACUCCAUUUAGUCUUGAGCCUAGGUUAAUAUCAGACUCAUGUGACCUGGGUAAUCUUCAUGAGAUGUCAGUUGAGCCCGGAAAGGCAGUGCGAAUACAGAAGCACAGAGCCAGGUAAAGUCUCUGCUAAAUAAGCAGUUAAAGUGGUAACCAAGACAACCAGCUUACAGGACCAGACCCACCACAAUUCACGUGACAUUGGUGUCUUCCAGAAUUGUCCCAUUCAAACCACAUCUUCAAGCAUCCUUGGGAGAUUGGGUGGAGGAGAACAAACCACAGCAACAGUAAAUCCUUUGUAGUCCUAAGAGAAAAG